UUCGGGGUAGGAAAUAAAGCGUUAAGUGCUGGAAGGACGGAAUGUGUUUUCCAGACGAAAGGAAUCAUCCUGCGAUUUUAUUUUCGCAUUCGCCGCA
rnacentral:ncRNA from 2 species